rnacentral:rRNA from 1 species
ACAGCAGUCGCCGCGGGAAUACAGAGGGUGCGAGCGUUAAUCGGAUUUACUGGGCGUAAAGCGUGCGUAGGCGGCUUCUUAAGUCGGAUGUGAAAUCCCUGAGCUUAACUUAGGAAUUGCAUUCGAUACUGGGAAGCUAGAGUAUGGGAGAGGAUGGUAGAAUUCCAGGUGUAGCGGUGAAAUGCGUAGAGAUCUGGAUGAAUACCGAUGGCGAAGGCAGCCAUCUGGCCUAAUACUGACGCUGAGGUACGAAAGCAUGGGGAGCAAACAGGAUUAGAUACCCCGGUAGUCCCUGUCUCUUAUAC